GACGAGUAGCAUGAAAAGUUAACAAUGUUAGUAAAACACAGUUUGUCUCCAAGUGAACUGAUCCAAACAGAGGAUAAAUGACAAGGAAGCAACUGGGACCUUGGAAAGCACUGUUUCCUCCCUGCUGUUCUCCUAGGUCAGGUCUUAUGGAGAGAGUGAGGCCACCUUUUGAAGAUUCUUUCGUAUUGAUGGGGACCCUCUCAGCGUGAUUCAACUGAACCACAGAAUCGACUCAUCGUGGUCUCCACUUGGUGCCACUUCCUGGUAUCCAUGGCGUUAAAGGUUAGCACUGCUGGCAACUCACCACUUCCUGGUAGCUCAAGAAUUGACCUGCCUGUGCACCAUGUGUUGCCGUGGGACCCACGGAGGGAGAGUGACAGACAUGGAGGGUCA